AUGGAUCCAAAUUCUAGUUAUGUGCUGAAAAUUAGAUUGCUUGGCAACCCAAAAGAAGCUAGAAACGAGCCCAUGUGUUUUUAUUUCGAGAAGGUUGUUGAUUCCGACUUGACAAAUUAUGAAGAUUUGGUUGAAUCAAUUAUAGUGCAGUACCAGCCACGUUAUUUGGAAGUUGCACAUGUUCACUACUAUGAUGAAGUUCUGAAAACAUUUCCAGAAAUAAAAUCAGACCAAGAGUUGAUGUAUAUGUUUGAGAAAUACACUAAGUCAAAGAUGGUGCAGAUGUUCAUUGUAUAUUGGGAACCCUCUGAACCAUAUGAGCCUAUCAUUGAGUAUUAUAGUGAUGUGCAUAUCCAACCUAACAACAACGCAGACCAAGAUGAUGAUAGUUAUCUUCGCAACCCAAUACCGGAGAAUGAACAUGUUGGUAUUGAUGAAGAGAAUAUGUAUUUGCAAAGCAAAAAAAUUAACCCUGCAAGCCCUUCAAUAAGCACAAGAAGCAAAAGGAGACUUAGUUUGUGA
rnacentral:rRNA from 1 species